UCCACGCAUACCGAAAAAAUGAGGCUGUGGCUGCAGGCAUCUUGUGACAAGGGGGAGCGAGAUGUGGGCUGGUAGGGAGCCCAGCUGUGAUGGCUCAGCCCUGGCUUGACUUCCCUGGCAGCCAGCCAUGGGAGGAAGGAAUUGAAUGCGCUGUAUCCGAGCCAAGGAUGCUGCAGGGAUGGGCAGCAUUUUUCCUUUACCUGAAGAAUGGGAUUGGACACCUGCCCAUCGCUGACUGAAGCCCACAUGUUCCCAACCAUACGGAGAUGCAUGUCCUGAAGAAAGAAAGCUGCCUGGAGUCAAACCCCAUUGAACGUGGUGGAACUUAUUUCCAAAUUUCAUGUGAACAGAACAAAUGACCUGGAAAUAGACUACAGCUGUAAACAUGUCUCACAUGCUCUGUGAUGAAUUUACAUUCUCACUAACUGGUGAGGCUGAUGUGCAACCCAUGCGGCCCACGGUUUCAAGUUCGGAAGAUAUGACACACUUAGAACCACUGG